rnacentral:rRNA from 1 species
UACGGGGGGGCAAGCGUUGUUCGGAAUUACUGGGCGUAAAGGGUUUGUAGGUGGCUUGCUAAGUCAGACGUGAAAUCCCUCAGCUUAACUGGGGAACUGCGUCUGAUACUGGCGAGCUUGAGUGCAGGAGAGGAACGCGGAAUUCCAGGUGUAGCGGUGAAAUGCGUAGAUAUCUGGAGGAACACCGGUGGCGAAGGCGGCAUCCUGGACCAACACUGACGCUGAGGAGCGAAAGCCAGGGGAGCAAAGCGGG